UUGAACGCUGGCGGCAUGCCUUACACAUGCAAGUCGAACGGCAGCACGGGAGCUUGCUCCUGGUGGCGAGUGGCGAACGGGUGAGUAAUAUAUCGGAACGUACCCUAGAGUGGGGGAUAACGUAGCGAAAGUUACGCUAAUACCGCAUACGAUCUACGGAUGAAAGUGGGGGGAUCGCAAGACCUCAUGCUCAUGGAGCGGCCGAUAUCUGAUUAGCUAGUUGGUGGGGUAAAGGCCUACCAAGGCUUCGAUCAGUAGCUGGUCUGAGAGGACGACCAGCCACACUGGGACUGAGACACGGCCCAGACUCCUACGGGAGGCAGCAGUGGGGAAUUUUGGACAAUGGGCGCAAGCCUGAUCCAGCAAUGCCGCGUGAGUGAAGAAGGCCUUCGGGUUGUAAAGCUCUUUUGUCAGGGAAGAAACGGUGGUUUCUAAUACAGAUCACUAAUGACGGUACCUGAAGAAUAAGCACCGGCUAACUACGUG
rnacentral:rRNA from 1 species